GAUCCAGAAUAAUAAAGUGCAUGCUUAAUUAUCAGGAAAAGUAGAAUCAAGAAGUUUGUUAACUCAAUCCUGCAUAAUGAUUAGUGAGUUAUUCUUCUUUUAUAAACUCUUUUCUCACAGUUUCCAGUAUGUGGGGUAUUGUGCACAUUACUUGAUAAUCUUCACCAUUGGGGCAGCCAUUGGGUGAUAUGACCAUAAUCACAGACACCAUUGGACAGGUGGGCCAAUGGGUCGAGUGGUAAAGUACUGUGGGUAGAUUGGUUGAUAUCAGAAACAUUGUAAAAGAUCUUACCACUGUGAAUUAUAAUAAAUGUGUCAUUUUCCAAUAACUAGAAUAAUUCACUCAGUAUUUCCCGCUGACAAAACCCUUUUAAAACACGUUUCAGGUAAUUACAGUAGAUUGGAGUAAGGAGUGGAUCCGACACUGAAAGACUUCAAGAAGUGGCUUAUUUUAUUAAUUAAAUCAAAUUAAGAAAUAUUGUUUUUAUUAAAAGCUACCUUUGUAACAAUGGAGUUUAUUCCAUCUAUUUAAAUAAAAUCCGGUGUUUCUAAACUCUUAUAUUUUUCCUAACUCACGGUCCUGAUGAAAUUUCCGCUGCAAUGUUUUUCAAAAUAAUCACCGGUACCACUGGACUGCUCGCGGCUCCCGAUUCCGUCCAGGGUGGGGUCGGGGGUCGUGACAGUAAAGGUGGUAUCAGAGCUAAGCCACUACUUUAAGCCUAUAAGUGUUGUGAUAACAAUACUUAAGCUUAAAUAAAAGAGUUAGGAGAUUGCCAUUAACUUAACUGGUAGCACAUCUGAUAGCAUUUAGACUUGAACAUAAGUAAAGAUGCCUUAGUAUAAGCUAAGCCACUUGUUUACGCAAUUAGGUGUUAUAAUAAUACCUAAGUUUAAAACGGAAAAUUAGAAGCUUAAUAUUAUCUGAUAGCACUCCGGAUGAUAUUUAGACUUGAACUUAAGAAUUUUGCCUUAAAUAAACUUUUAGAUAAAUUACUUAUAUAAGUACAAUGUAAUGGAUAUUGGUAUUCCAUAAAAAUGACGAUUAACAGGUAAUAGCAUUUAAUUGCUAUUUAUUCUUGUUUAUUGAUAUUACUUGAUCUAGAAUAAAGAUAUGCUAUGAAAAUACAAAUUUCCUUUAUUCUGGAUAAAAGCCCUAAAGAGGCACUGUUAAAAUCUUGAAAAGAUAUUAUUUAUGGGAAAUAGAAAAUUUCUCCGGCAAAACUGGGUAUAGAGUAACAGACUCUCCAGCCUGUCCGGAUAUACUGAGAUUACCUCUCCGGCGCGAACCGGAUAAGACGAGGUACAUAGUAUGUCAAACAAGUGACAAGAUUUCCCUAAAUAAUAUCAUGAUUGGAUAUCUGAUUUGUUUUGGAAAUAUGAAUCUAUUAAAUACAUUGACCUGAUAAAUGGUAUGUUUAUUUCAGCAUGUGAAAUAUGUAAUUAUAUAAAUAUGUAUAUCUAUAAGGAAUUCCAAAAGUCGAUUAGGAAUAAAACACAAGCAUAUAUAGAUUUCUUUAUUAGGAAUCUCUUUUCCGAUAUCAAACAUUAUUUCGUUUGAUUAUUUGUCUCGUAGUUCGUGUGACAAAAUAAACAAUGGAAACUCUAUAAAUUGGAACACCAUCAAAAAUAUAUACCAAUGCGUUACCAUAAAUUAUUAACGCCAUAAAUAUAAACUCAAAUAAGAAGCAUGUAAGAUUUUGUUGGUGCACAAGAAAACACAUGAAACUUAAAUUAUAUGUCCACAGACGUUGAAGUUUAGCACCCACGAUUUUCCAAGGCAAGACCUUUGAAAAAUAUAAAUUGGGUACGAUGACACCAAUGUUAAAAAUUCUGUCAGUAAGAAGAACUACUAAUCAAAAAGCGGCACUUUGCCACAUGAACUUACAAACGAUCAAAAUCUCACUGGGGUACGUUGGAACAACAUUUCACAAAACAUCGGUGCAUAGUCUAACCUGAGUCAUAAUUAUUAGCACUACAAAAGAAGUCAUAUAUUUUUGCAAAUCCCCGAUUUCAUUUCACUUCAUUCGACAUUCUCUGAUAAUGUCAUUUAACAAAUAGUUAUCACACGAAAUUCCAGAUAAGAAGUUCUUAUAUUUCUUUCGUUGCAAUUCUGACUUCUGCAUAUAAAAAGUUGACUUUCGCAUUUCUGCUUCCUCUAAUAGUCAUCAUAUCAUAAGGAUUUCUUUAGCGAAUAUUGAUCUAUUUCAAUUCUUGGUAAAUCCACACGUUACGCAUGCUCUGUUUGUUGCGAGUAUGAUUCGCUUGCUUUAUGAAGACCACUGGAGGACUUCAUUCGAUUUAUCAAAACUCAAAUAUCAUUUCGCUUUUUGCACUAUGAAUCACAUUAUUGUAAAACAGUGACUCUUUGAUAUCGAGUUAAUGAAUUUUGUUAACCCAUUGAGG
rnacentral:lncRNA from 1 species